rnacentral:lncRNA from 1 species
GUUGAAAGCAGAACGAGAGUUUUGGAAACUGGCAGUUACUGACCAAGUGCUGACUGUUCUGUGCUGAAUGCUGCAGGGGCUGUGAUUUGGCUUCUUGGGAUGUUUGCUUCCCACGUUGGGGGUCAGAGUUAUACUGUCAUAUAUGAUCUGGCCUUUGUCCAUUUGUAUAUUCAGUCUCAAAAAAACAGUUGGUGCACAAAUUCAUCAGUUAGCUCGUCAUUAAAAAAUAGUCUCUUGGAAAGUUAAACCUUCGAAAGUUAAAAAGAUGAAAAUGGUAAAAAGAUGAAAGAUGCCAAAUAAGUUUUAUAGAUAAAUAUGAAGAAAUUGAAUAAGAAUCUCAAAAUAAAAGUUCCAGCAGUUAAGUAUAUUUACUUGAGAAUAUAUCAUGCAAACUAUGUUUAAGUAGAGUGUCAUUUUUAUUAUCAGCAUAGGAGAAAAGAUGAGUUAUGGAAGGGAUUCUGCUCAUGCUCAGCUAUUUCCUUUACUUAACAUUAAAUCUUGAAUAAAGUAUAAUGUCAAGCUGACUCAUUUACUCCUUCAUUUUAAAAGCUGAAGACUAUUUCCUUGGUUUUUAAAUAAUGAGGUGUAAAGGAGGGGGUGAGGUGUUGAAAAUAACUUCCACUGAGAUUGACAGUAGCAAUUGCUCUUAAUUUUUUUGAGAGUCGUGGGGUCACCCAUCAAAGCAGGAAUGCUAUUUAUGUUCAGAAAUUAAGAAUCUGAAUUUUAUUAGAAAUUUUGACUUUUAUAUACCCUCAAAAAGUAAACUUAGGAAUUUAUUUGAAUUUUUAGCUCUGUUGAGGUAUGAGUAAUAGACAAAAAAUGCACACGUUUUCUAUAUGUGUAUUGAUUAGUUUGGACAUAUGCAUACACCCAUCAUAUCAUCCCCACAACCAAGUGCUGAACACAUCCAUGACCUCCAAAACUUUCCUUCUGAUUUUUGUGUGUUUUUUUAAGCUUAGGAAUUUCAUGAUUUUAACCUAAUGCUCAGAUAAAAGAGGGAGAAGAUGAGGUGUACGUUGUUUCAUUAUGGUACCUUAAGACAUAGACUGUCAACAUACACAUGACUUCUGAAAAGGAACAUUUAUUACUUUCACAAUGAAAUAUUUUCUCCUAUUUCCUUCAAAUAUAUGGCCUUCUUAUUCUACCCCCACCCACUUCCUUUUUGAGUAGGGACUCAGGAGAAAUUUCCAAUGGUACUAACAAACAGGGUCCAAGGGGUGGCUGCCCCUCAAGGUCCAUCCACGUUGUCACAAAUGGCCGGAUCUCAUCAGUUCUUAGGGCCG